GUGUGUUUGAGAUAACCUCACAAGUGUCACAGAUGACACAUUUGGCGUUUUUUUGCUGGUUUGUCGGUAGCAGCUCCUGAAACGCAAGACUGCCACACAUCUGUUCGACCAAAUCCAGUUAAUCUGGAACACCGGCACUCACUCGAUGGGAGUCAGCUCUUCUGAUUCAGUACAAAGCAUCGGCUCUUAGCGUUUAUCUUUUGAGAAAUGUAGAAUAAAAGAAACGUCUUUAUUUCCAAAAACUUGCCCGGAGUGUCCUGGCUGAGAAGAAGACAAGAUGAAGCUCUGAAGAGCAAGCCCACACAGGUGGAGAGCAGGAGUUUUCACAGGUGGAGGAGCUGAGUAUGGCUGACUCUCCCUCUGAACCUGUGGCACUCCGUCUAUUGGAGGAGUGGCUGGGGUGCUGAUGAUGGGUUUCAGGUGUCGAUGGUUCUUCUGCAGACUAUCUCCGUCUAGACAAGGUAUGAUUGUGGAGAGUCGCACUUUUGUGUGACCGUCGACUUUGCAGCGUGGAUGGCCAUCGUGAAUGCGCUCCAAAUCUCAGUCCUAAGCUGUUGUAGUAAAACUAUUCUGUCAUUAUAUAGCACCAGAACAUUUGACACAAUAAGAGAAUGUCUAUUAGUGUAAUAUUGCUUCACUUUCUCUUGCACUUUAGUUGUGUGUUUCAGCCAACCUGCCUGCACAAAGGUUUGCACUAUUUGAAGAGUGGCAUAAUGCAGUGUUUGCUGUUUGAUUAGAUCCAACUUGGUUUUAUUAGUCCUUUAUUUAUCCAGGUAAAAUCUCAUUGAGAUUAAAAUUCUCAUUUCCAAGAGAGACCUGGCAUCAUGGCAACAAAUGUCAAAAUACACGUACCACCUAAGUAUAUAACAUUUAAAACAAAUAUAAUAUCCCGUAGUAGUCGAAAUGAGCCAAGAGCAUUGUGUUGCAUCUUCAUAAGCUUCAAUUUCCUCCAGCGAUUCUGCUGUCUCAUGAGUUGUAGUUGCAGAGACCCUUUCACACCACCCAGAAGCGGCUACAAGUUCCUUCCCUGGUACGUAGACAGCCGUGGGGUUGUACCGCAUCAUUCUCAACAAAAGUCUCUGGCACUUCAGUGGCACUGAGUGAAGAUCCUUGCUGUUUAUAAGAGGUAUUAGUCACUUGUGGUCACUUUAUAUCACAUAUAUCAGUAUAUUGACAGGAUAGACCGCUACUCCCUCACGUCCUUUCAAGAGUUCUGUCCUCUCGCGCUGGAAGAUUUCUGGGGCGCUGGUAAUACCAAAUGUUAGCCUGCUGAAGUAGUAUCUGUCAAAUGGGGUUAUAAAAGUAGUCAGUUUGGUGCUGUCUACAUCAAGUGGUAUUUGCCAGAACCUGCUUGCGGCAUUUAACAGAAAAAAAUACUUUGACACCUGCAAGUUUAGACAAAAUGUCAUCAAAAGUUGGUAAAACAUACUUUUCUCUUUAUGGUGCCUUAUUCAGCUCUUACAAAUCAACAUGGAUUCUGAUCUGUUUCUUGUUUCCAUCAGAAAUUUAUCAGAGCACAUCACUCAGUUGGCUCUGGAAUUGUUGAAUCACACCACAGUUUGCCAUAUGAUCCAGUUCUUUCUUCACUUUUGGUAACAUGGAUACUGACAUUAUCCUUGCAGUCAUCACACUGUAAGGAAGUGCACGCUCUCUGAGCGUGAUCCUGAUGGGUUUGAUUUCAACCUCCCCUACAUCCCGAGGGAAAGACUCACUGAUUUGUUCUGAAGCUCCUAUUUCUUCCAUGAGUUUCAUCAGGCCCAUGGUAGCUGCAACAUUGUGACUUAAGAGGUGAAUGCCUUGUGAAGCUUUAUUCAUGUUGACUUUAAACCUCAUUCUUUUCUCCUUCCUCAUUGUGGUGGCUAUAAAAUAAACUACCUACACAGUUCAGUUUGCCUCCAGGGCUGUAUAACUGCUUCACUGGUUUUUUAUUUCUUAGUUUUGGCUUACAGGCAAGUUUAUCAGAUGUUGUCUGUUGGUAUAACACUAUCAACCUCUGAGUCAAUCUUAAAGAUUAUUUGAGGACCUUGUAUUAGUAGUUUUACAGUCCAUCCCUUUGUAAAAUCUUCCACAUCUGUGAUUCCUCGUAGAAAGUAGGUUGCAUUGCUUUCACUGUCUUGUGUGGUGCAAAAACUUCAUUGACCACACAGGAGCGACAAGCAAACGCAAAAUGGCCCAGCUUUUUACAGCUCCUACAUUUCACAUUUCUGGCCUGACGUUUAUCCUUCUUUGGAUGGACUCAACCAUAUCUUGUACAUUUGUGACACUGGCAGUGUCAUCAGGAGGCAUGAAGUGAACUUCCACAGUUACGCUGAUGACACUCAGCUGUACAUCUCCGUGUCUCCUGAUGACACCAGACCAAUGGAUGCCCUUUUUAACUGUAUUCUAGAUAUAAAAUCUUCGAUGGCAGAAAACUUUUUACAGCUUAACCAGGACAAAA